rnacentral:rRNA from 1 species
GAUGAACGCUGGCGGCGUGCCUAAUACAUGCAAGUCGAGCGAAUGGAUUGAGAGCUUGCUCUUAUGAAGUUAGCGGCGGACGGGUGAGUAACACGUGGGUAACCUGCCCAUAAGACUGGGAUAACUCCGGGAAACCGGGGCUAAUACCGGAUAACAUUUUGAACCGCAUGGUUCGAAAUUGAAAGGCGGCUUCGGCUGUCACUUAUGGAUGGACCCGCGUCGCAUUAGCUAGUUGGUGAGGUAACGGCUCACCAAGGCAACGAUGCGUAGCCGACCGGAGAGGGUGAUCGGCCACACUGGGACUGAGACACGGCCCAAACACCUACGGGAGGCAGCAGUAGGGAAUCUUCCGCAAUGGACGAAAGUCUGACGGAGCAACGCCGCGUGAGUGAUGAAGGCUUUCGGGUUGUAAAACUCUGUUGUUAGGGAAGAACAAGUGCUAGUUGAAUAAGCUGGCACCUUGACGGUACCUAACCAGAAAGCCACGGCUAACUACGUGCCAGCCGCCGCCGUAA